rnacentral:rRNA from 1 species
ACCUGCGGAGGGAUCAUUACCGAGUUUACAACUCCCAAACCCCUGUGAACAUACCUAUACGUUGCCUCGGCGGAUCAGCCCGCGCCCUGUAAAAAGGGACGGCCCGCCCGAGGACCCUAAACUCUGUUUUUAGUGGAACUUCUGAGUAAAACAAACAAAUAAAUCAAAACUUUCAACAACGGAUCUCUUGGUUCUGGCAUCGAUGAAGAACGCAGCAAAAUGCGAUAAGUAAUGUGAAUUGCAGAAUUCAGUGAAUCAUCGAAUCUUUGAACGCACAUUGCGCCCGCCAGUAUUCUGGCGGGCAUGCCUGUUCGAGCGUCAUUUCAACCCUCAAGCUCAGCUUGGUGUUGGGACUCGCGGUAACCCGCGUUCCCCAAAUCGAUUGGCGGUCACGUCGAGCUUCCAUAGCGUAGUAAUCAUACACCUCGUUACUGGUAAUCGUCGCGGCCACGCCGUAAAACCCCAACUUCUGAAUGUUGACCUCGGAUCAGGUAGGAAUACCCGCUGAACUUAAGCAUAUCAAUA